GUUUUCAUGGUGUGCUAUUCUGAAUUUAGCACAAGGUGUUGGUUUAAGAACUUAAGCAAUUGAAGAUGCCAGUUUUUUAGUCAUGUUAGGGGUAAAAUCAUAUUGUGUAACUGUAAAGUAGCUUGAAAGUCCUCAUCUCCAUCCCUGCUUAACGUUUUGCUCUUAUAAGGAAUCAUGAGUUUGUAGUUCUAUCUUUCUUAUCCUACUCUGAAAUCUUGCCUGUGGAAUAUCUUUUGAUUGCGACUUCUUAUUUUAACUACUUUAGAUUUGUUGUUGUGGCUUGAUAAUCUGACCUUGACUAUAUUUAUUUCAUUGCUGCUUACUUAGUAUCAUGGGAAAUAUUUCAUAUUACAAUGGCUUGACAUAUUGUUGUUAUCAAUUUGCCUGAUCCGAAAAUUUUGUUUUGUUGUCUUUGACAUUGGUACAUGGUCGUUCAGGACAAGAUUUUUUCAUGGGCUUUUGGAUGUGAAACCAUUUAUUCCUUUAAUUUGAAAUAUCCCUGAAGUUUUAAACUAUGUAGGUUGGCGGAUAAACUAUGGAGUUUCAUUUGUUUAUAUUUGUAUAAGAAUAUAAAUGAUUCUAAUAGCAGAACUAAUAGUAAAUUUUUGAAAUUAUUGGCCCUUAAUAACUGCAGAGCCCUUAUAGACUUGUACUCCACACCUGAUCCAAGAGGUGUAAGAGUUUGAGAUAUCAAGUUGCCUAUUUCCACAACAUUUGAUCUUUAAUUGUUCUUUUUCCCAUAAAGUUUGGAAUUUAGUGGCUGAUGCAAUUUCUCUCAACUGGCAUGGCAUGACAAAUUUGAAUGAUAUUAUUGCUUGGACUUCUACUAACUGUCAGGUUAAGAAGAAUUGGUCCCAUCAGCUGCACAAAAUUUCCCUUACUUCAUUGUUGCUCAUGAUGCCAUUGGGAUCACUUCUCUCUAUAUUGGUUGGGGACUUGAUGGCUCAGUUUGGAUUUCAUCGGAACUGAAAGGUUUGAAUGAUGACUGUGAGCACUUCGAGAGUUUUCCUCCUGAUCACUUAUACUCGAGCAAACAGGGAGGCCUUCGCCAAUGGUGCAACCCUCGGUUCUCUGAGGCUAUUCUAUCAACGCCAUAUGAUCCACUUGUUCUAUAAGGCGUGCUUUUGAAAAUAUUGGAUUCAUGAACUUUUUACCAUUAUUUAUAAAAAUUAUGAGUCAUUUUAAUCAUUCACUUUUUACCACUUGUUCAAGAAGGCUGACUGUGUAUGCUUUAUGAAUGUUUGAAGGUGGAAUUAUGGAGUUGUAUUUGUUUCUUGUGAAUUAGGGAGUUGUACGUGUUGGUUG